ACGGCCGUACCAUGCUGAAUAUACCGGUCAACUGAAGUCAAGCAUCAUUGGGCGCGGUCAGUACUUGGGUGGGUGACCACCUGGGAACACCGCGUGCCGUUU